rnacentral:tRNA from 1 species
GGAGGUAUAGUUCAGUUGGUAGAAUACUUGCCUAGCAUGCACCAGGCCCUGGGUUCAAUCCCCAGCACCAUUA